UGCACGAAUGGCGUAAUGAUGGCCAGGCUGUCUCCACCCGAGACUCAGUGAAAUUGAACUCGCUGUGAAGAUGCAGUGUACCCGCGGCAAGACGGAAAGACCCCGUGAACCUUUACUAUAGCUUGACACUGAACAUUGAGCCUUGAUGUGUAGGAUAGGUGGGAGGCUUUGAAGCGUGGACGCCAGUCUGCGUGGAGCCAACCUUGAAAUACCACCCUUUAAUGUUUGAUGUUCUAACGUGGACCCGUAAUCCGGGUUGCGGACAGUGUCUGGUGGGUAGUUUGACUGGGGCGGUCUCCUCCUAAAGAGUAACGGAGGAGCACGAAGGUUGGCUAAUCCUGGUCGGACAUCAGGAGGUUAGUGCAAUGGCAUAAGCCAGCUUGACUGCGAGCGUGACGGCGCGAGCAGGUGCGAAAGCAGGUCAUAGUGAUCCGGUGGUUCUGAAUGGAAGGGCCAUCGCUCAACGGAUAAAAGGUACUCCGGGGAUAACAGGCUGAUACCGCCCAAGAGUUCAUAUCGACGGCGGUGUUUGGCACCUCGAUGUCGGCUCAUCACAUCCUGGGGCUGAAGUAGGUCCCAAGGGUAUGGCUGUUCGCCAUUUAAAGUGGUACGCGAGCUGGGUUUAGAACGUCGUGAGACAGUUCGGUCCCUAUCUGCCGUGGGCGCUGGAGAACUGAGGGGGGCUGCUCCUAGUACGAGAGGACCGGAGUGGACGCAUCACUGGUGUUCGGGUUGUCAUGCCAAUGGCACUGCCCGGUAGCUAAAUGCGGAAGAGAUAAGUGCUGAAAGCAUCUAAGCACGAAACUUGCCCCGA
rnacentral:rRNA from 1 species